GCAUUGGUGACUCAGUGGUAGAAUUCUCGCCUUUUGUACGAGAGACCUGGGUUCGAUUCCCGGCCAGUGCA